UGCGACCCCACGUGUCUUUGCCUUGCUUUGCUGCCUCAUGUCGUAAGAGCGACUUGGGAAUAAAAACCGCUUACGGGAGUGCUUAAGGGAGGAUCUGCGUUCUGCCCAGCUUAGGGAGCUAUAGCGAAAGCUUGGGGGAGGGGAGGGGAGGGGAGAGCACUGAACUGAGAAUCUCCCAGUGACCUCGGUGGCUUGAUUUGUUUGCAGGACAGUGGUCUGAGGGCGGGCAACUUGAAGCGGAGCAGCUCAGCCCAUUUUGGUGAUACCGUUUUAAGGACAGACCGGGCGGUGGGGGCGGUCUGGGAGAGUUUCAGACAGGACAGGAAAGAGCAAGGAGGGUUUGAGAGCGUGGACGAACCAGGUGCCCAGGGUACUGAAGUUGUUAACGGCUGAGAGCAUUUGGGGUUAAGCAUCUGAAAGGGGUUAGCGCACGAGGAGUAGUCAAAUCCCGUGACGGAACACAAGGCUCCUCUCCAGCCUGGGCCUGUGCGUGCGCCCCGGCUCUUGCGGACGCCCCGGAGCUGUAGGCAAACAGGCGAGCAGCCCGGCGGGCGAGCGGGCUCGGAGCGUGGCCAGGGCUGUCCGUGCUGUGCGGAUCCGUGCGCUUCCGUUCCCCGUCUCCUCGUCCAGCCCGCCCUCCUUUGGGUUUGUAACCUUCCCCUGCACCCAGCGUUCGGCUCUGCGCGCAGACCUCAGGGCUGGGCUUCGUGCGGCCCAGGCCCGCGCCACCGAGACCGGCGAUGGGACGGGCGAGCCGAGCGCUGGGCAACGAGCGUCCUGCAGGGCUCAAGCCUGGCGCAGGGCAGAAGCACGCAGAGCUCAGGCGUCGUCCUCUCCGUUCUCAGAGCUGAGUGCUCUCCCUGAAGGCGAAAGCGGAAGGGGUAGGUCGUCGGCUACUCGGACACCUGCCGCGUCAAGGGCGGCAGCGGGAGCUGACCCCUCCCCGACGGACGGACGGACGCCGGUGAUGACUCUUCGGGUGUCACAAGGGUAGUCCCCGGAAGGGGGCAUCUCCAAGAGAAGCGGCUAGACCCAGCGACCCAGCCGUUCGCUUUGGUCGCCACCUGUGAGGCGAGCAUCCGAGCGCAACGGGAGUCCGGGAGCUGUAUCAAAAAGAGCUGGAACCAACGAUAGCAAAUGCUGACGGAGAGGGAAGCCGGACAAGCGGCACGUAGGGGAUUAAUACCUAAGGGACGGGGUUGAAACGAGGAGGCAGAAACGCAGCGGACCCUCGGUAUCCCCAGCAGCGGCCACGGUAGCAGCAGGUGUUCCGCCACGGGCAAGUCAAGAUAGAAGGGGAAAGAUGUGAUGCUUCUGAGAUUAAUUGCCGCGGCCGAAGUAGAAGAGACCAGGAAAACGUAAGCAAGCUGAAGUAAUAAAAUCAAACGGAACCGGCUGAGAGCUGUCCCCGUCUCCCCCAAAGGAAAACCCAUUCCUCCUGACUAGGCAGGAUCGCCGUUGAGAGCAAUCGGAAUAAUAGAUGACCAACGUGUAACGGGAGGCCUGUGCACCUCACGAACAAGUCUGCUCCGUACGUGUAUUUCUGGGACAAGGCGAGCCUUUUCCAGUAAUGCUUUCCGCAUCUGGUGACUCUGUGGGAGCAGCACCGUCAGAAAAGAGCGGUAAGGGAAAGCGGGUGCCAACGGCACCGUCCUCGCGUCCCCUUUGGGGCCGGAAUGCAAAUUCUCUGGCUGUGAGAAAGACCGUUUAGCAGCGCCCUGGGCUGUAACUGUCUCUGAGACUUCUCCCUUUGAUAGCACAGAGGCGGUCCAACGCGCUCAGGUCCCUCUGAAGUGGUAACGCCAGGCAUAGGACUAGACAGCAGGGGAUCAUCUAUCCGAGCGGCACGAUGAGCACUAACCUUAACGAGCAGGGGGUUACUGUGCAAGUGUUACAGGAAGGGGGUGUUGCGCGUGUCUGCAUUGACCGAGGGGCAGAGCACGGUUGCGCCAAAAAAUGCGGACAGAGGAGGUUUCUGACAGAUUAAUCUCUAGCGGCUACUUAGUCUAACUUCCCUUUCGCAGCAAACCCGAGUGUCGUCGUAGCUCCCAAAGCAGGGCUGGGGGAAGCGGUACCUGCGGGUUGCGCGUUCUCGUUUACCUUGCGUGCGUGCGUGUGCGUGCACGCGUGUUUGCGUUAGAGCUGCUUUUGUGCUUAGAAGCACCUUUGGAUUCUUACGAUUUUCUGCAGAGCUUUGCUUUGCUCCGUACUUUUGUAGGGUGAUGGAUUUUACGGUGCCUGCAUCGACAAGUGCUGGCUGGCUAAGUUACAAUGUCCCAAGGGAGACCCUUAGGCGAGGCCGAGGCGCGCGGGGAGGGAGCCUGCCGGAAGAACGUCGCCCGGGAGGGGUCGCUGGCCUCGAGCUGUUGGCGCUGAUGCGCGUGGCUCGUUCUGUCGGACGCAGAGAGGUUGCGGAAACUUUAGCUUGGCUUUACGCUGUACGGCGGUAGUAUUUUUGUGUUUCUAAAUUGCGUUAAUCCUCGGCAUUCUGAACAGCAGGGAACGACGACGGGCUGUCGUGAGGAACUGCAGGCUGCCGCCCUCCGACCUCGGCAGGUGAUGCGUCGAGAGCAGCCGGGAGAAUCCGAAUGCCGGUUUUGGCAGGUUCUCUGCCCGGUGCUGACGAGGAGCCUUUGACAGUAGGAGGGUUGGCAGCGUCCGUACCUGAACCGUGGAGUAGUAAGCUGCAGUUCACUGACCAGCAAAGGAGGCGGGGCGGGGGGGGGGGGUUGGGGUAGUGACCGGUGUCCCGGUCGCUAUGGCACUGCUGUUGCUAGCAGAGCCACCAGGUCUGUGUGAAGCCUUAGGUGCCUGCUUGGAGCAGUGUUUUGGUCUGCUCACCUGGAAGAAGCAGCGAGGCCUAAAAUGAGACUUCGUUGCGGCUACAUGGGACAGUGGUCUGAGGGCGGGCAACUUGAAGCGGAGCAGCUCAGCCCAUUUUGGUGAUACCGUUUUAAGGACAGACCGGGCGGUGGGGGCGGUCUGGGAGAGUUUCAGACAGGACAGGAAAGAGCAAGGAGGGUUUGAGAGCGUGGACGAACCAGGUGCCCAGGGUACUGAAGUUGUUAACGGCUGAGAGCAUUUGGGGUUAAGCAUCUGAAAGGGGUUAGCGCACGAGGAGUAGUCAAAUCCCGUGACGGAACACAAGGCUCCUCUCCAGCCUGGGCCUGUGCGUGCGCCCCGGCUCUUGCGGACGCCCCGGAGCUGUAGGCAAACAGGCGAGCAGCCCGGCGGGCGAGCGGGCUCGGAGCGUGGCCAGGGCUGUCCGUGCUGUGCGGAUCCGUGCGCUUCCGUUCCCCGUCUCCUCGUCCAGCCCGCCCUCCUUUGGGUUUGUAACCUUCCCCUGCACCCAGCGUUCGGCUCUGCGCGCAGACCUCAGGGCUGGGCUUCGUGCGGCCCAGGCCCGCGCCACCGAGACCGGCGAUGGGACGGGCGAGCCGAGCGCUGGGCAACGAGCGUCCUGCAGGGCUCAAGCCUGGCGCAGGGCAGAAGCACGCAGAGCUCAGGCGUCGUCCUCUCCGUUCUCAGAGCUGAGUGCUCUCCCUGAAGGCGAAAGCGGAAGGGGUAGGUCGUCGGCUACUCGGACACCUGCCGCGUCAAGGGCGGCAGCGGGAGCUGACCCCUCCCCGACGGACGGACGGACGCCGGUGAUGACUCUUCGGGUGUCACAAGGUAAGGGAAAGCGUGCCCGCAUGCAGCUCGGUGGCAGGCUCGCUCCCAGGUGGUGUUUCUGCACGGCAAAACAAUAAACGGUUGCUUUAA